rnacentral:rRNA from 1 species
UGGGGAAUAUUGCACAAUGGGCGCAAGCCUGAUGCAGCAACGCCGCGUGAACGAUGAAGGUCUUCGGAUCGUAAAGUUUUGUUGCAGGGGAAGAUAAUGACGGUACCCUGUGAGGAAGCCCCGGCUAACUACGUGCCAGCAGCCGCGGUAAUACGUAGGGGGCUAGCGUUAUCCGGAUUUACUGGGCGUAAAGGGUGCGUAGGUGGUCUUUCAAGUCGGUGGUUAAAGGCUACGGCUCAACCGUAGUUAGCCUCCGAAACUGGAAGACUUGAGUGCAGGAGAGGAAAGUGGAAUUCCCAGUGUAGCGGUGAAAUGCGUAGAUAUUGGGAGGAACACCAGUAGCGAAGGCGGCUUUCUGGACUGCAACUGACACUGAGGCACGAAAGCGUGGGUAGCAAACAGG